GGGCGAUUAGCUCAGUUGGCUAGAGCACUACCUUGACAGGGUAGGGGUCACUGGUUCGAGUCCAGUAUCGCCCACCA
rnacentral:tRNA from 1 species